CAGCAUGCCGCCAUAUUGUUUUUCAUCGCCCCCUCCCUCUUCACACUCGCAGUUUAACAGUAAGCCAUAAAACGUAUCUUAUACAAGCAGCGGACGACACCCCGUCACGACUCGCCAAAAAUGGAAGAUGUGCGGGCAAAAAAAAAAAAAGUGUGAGAAGGAAAAGCUAAAACGUGUUUUGUCAGACCUAGAUCUUUGGUUCGGCUUGCGUCUACCUGUGCGACCCUUGAAACCCGAGCAAAACAAUUUGAUUUAGCGGCUUUUCGCUUAACAGUUUUGUAAUAUUCGAAUCUCUCAAAUAAAUGGCUUAGACACAAUAUGUAAAAAUGGAAAGUAUAAAUGAAAUAAGAGAUUGUAAAUAAUCAAUAAAAUGUUAAAUGUUACAAAAAUUACUCCACAUUUGUUUGUGGCUAAUAAACGCAAUUAUCAAAUUCAA